rnacentral:misc_RNA from 1 species
GAUGAAGAACGUAGCGAAAUGCGAUAAGUAGUGUGAAUUGCUGAAUUCAGUGAAUCAUCGAAUCUUUGAACGCACAUUGCGCCCCUUGGUAUUCCAUGGGGCAUGCCUGUUCGAGCGUCAUUUGUACCCUCAAGCUUUGCUUGGUGUUGGGUGUUUGUCCUCUCCUUUGCGUUUGGACUCGCCUUAAAGCAAUUGGCAGCCAGUGUUUUGGUAUUGAAGCGCAGCACAAUUUGCGAUUCUAACCGACUACACUUGCGUCCAUAAGCCUUUUUUAACUUUUGACCUCGGAUCAGGUAGGGAUACCCGCUGAACUUAAGCAUAUCAAUAAGCGGAGGA